AGCUGGUUCGAAAGUAGUGAGUUAUUUCAAUUGAUUGUUCAAAUCAUUUACAGAUUGAACUCCUUGUACUACUCUUUCCCCUCUUCUCACUACUGCACUUGACUGGUCUUAA
ensembl:misc_RNA Y_RNA Y RNA